ACGCUCGACACCUACGGGGGCAGCAGUGGGGAAUAUUGCACAAUGGGGGAAACCCUGAUGCAGCGACGCCGCGUGAGCGAAGAAGUAUCUCGGUAUGUAAAGCUCUAUCGGCAGGGAAGAAGAUGACGGUACCUGACUAAGAAGCACCGGCUAAAUACGUGCCAGCAGCCGCGGUAAUCUGAGCGGGCUGGCAAGGC
rnacentral:rRNA from 1 species